rnacentral:misc_RNA from 1 species
AGGUGUUUCUGGCGCACGUCGUCUGGCGCUCGUCGGAGCACGUCUGCCGCUCGCACGUGCAGCGCACGUCACGCCGGCGCUGGAGGCUGCGCCGCACGGCGCACGCCGUUUCGCAUCGGCGCGUUCCGCGCAAAGGCCGUUUCCGGGUAAUGGAGAGGCGGCGUGGCGUGGUGUUGUGAUUAGCGUGCCGACGCCCCCGGCGCCCCGCCCGGCUAUGGAGACCGCUUAGUGGACCGUCUGCGCGGGUCGGAGAGCGCGGAGGCUGCGGCGGGACCUGUGAGUGGCCGAGAGAGGCGCCUGGACCGGGCUCUGGCGGUGCGGAGGCCGCGCGCCGCGGCGCGGACGGCAGUGUGACACAGGCCGGGCGCGCGGGAGGUCGGACACCGCUGAGGUCGGCCGCUGUCCAGAGUCGUCACCGUGGAGUGGGAGGGCGCCGCCGAGUGGGACGUUGGCACGGGCCAGCCGGCCGCCGCCGUCAGUAACGCUCCCACGCGCCCCGUGGCACGUGCCAGGCGCCGACGUGCCACCUCGAGAAGCGUCAUGGAGCCAGUGCGCAGCGCGGCUAGCGCCGCUCGACGACUCUUCAGAAAAGGCGCCGACGCGGCCACGGAGAUGAGCAAGAAUCCCGGCGACUCGGGCGCGGCCGGCGGCGAUGGCAGCCAGACGCGGGGCGCGCGCGAGCGGGCGCCCAGCGAAGCCGGCGAGGCGGCGGCGGCGGCGGCGGCGGCGGCGACGACGGCCGGCUCGGCGGCACUCCGUCACCAGUCGCGAUCCAUGACCUCGCUGCCGCCGGAGCCGUACACCAUCAUGCGCAGCAAGGCGCUCAACACGCGCGUCAUCAUCAACGUGGGCGGCAUGCGCCAUGAGGUGCUGUGGUCGACCCUGGAACGGCUGCCCCACACGCGCCUCGGCCGCCUCAAGGACCGAAACACGCACGAAUCGAUCAUGGAGAUCUGUGACGAAUACUCUUUGGUCGAUAACGAGUACUUUUUCGACCGGCACCCGCGUUCAUUCAGUAGCAUUCUGAACUUUUACCGCACUGGCAAGCUUCACCUUGUGGAGGAGAUGUGUGUGAUGGCGUUUAGCGAGGACCUCGAUUACUGGGGCAUCGACGAGCUGUACCUGGAAUCCUGCUGCCAGCACAAGUACCACCAGCGGCGCGAGCACGUGCAUGACGAAAUGCGCAAGGAGGCCGACUCGCUGAAGACGCGAGAGGAGGAGGACUUUGGCACGGGCCGGUGCGCCCAGUACCAAAAGUUCCUCUGGGACCUCAUGGAGAAGCCCACCACGUCGCUGGGCGCGCGGAUACUGGCCAUUAUAUCCAUACUUUUCAUCGUUCUCUCAACCACCGCGCUCGUGUUGAAUACCAUACCAACGCUCCAAGAAGAAGGGGGCAACGAUAACCGGUACCUCAGUCAAGUGGAGAUCGUGUGUAUUACCUGGUUCACUCUGGAGUAUCUAUUGCGCUUCGCUGCCUCUCCAAACAAAUGGCAGUUUUUCAAAGGUGCCAUGAACAUCAUAGACUUGUUGGCCAUUAUGCCGUUCUAUGUGUCUCUCUUCCUCGUCUCGAACUCGAACAAGAAGGACUCGCAGUUUGAUGACGUGAGGCGAGUCGUACAAAUUUUUCGCAUUAUGAGGAUACUGCGAAUCCUUAAGCUAGCUCGCCACUCGACGGGCUUGCAGAGCUUGGGCUUCACCCUGCGCAACUCGUAUAAGGAGCUCGGUCUCCUGCUCAUGUUUCUAGCUAUCACUGUCCUCAUAUUCUCGAGCCUGUGCUACUUUGCCGAGAAGGAGGCGGAUAAGACGCUCUAUACGAGCAUACCAGAGACAUUCUGGUGGGCCAUCAUCACGAUGACCACCGUGGGGUACGGUGAUAUGCACCCCGUCACCCCUCUCGGCAAGAUGAUCGGCGCCGUAUGUGCCAUCUGCGGCGUGCUGGUCAUUGCCCUGCCCAUCCCCAUCAUCGUCAACAACUUCGCCGAGUUCUACAAGAACCAGAUGCGUCGCGAGAAGGCCAUGAAGCGACGCGAGGCGCUCGAACGCGCUAAGCGGGAGGGCAGCAUCGUCAGCUUCCACGACGUCAACCUGAGGGACGCCUUCGCCAAGUCGAUGGACAUCAUCGAUGUCAUUGUAGAUACAGGGCACAACAUGAGCAUCGGUGAAGGAAGCGUCACCAACAGCACCAAGGGUGACACAGGCACCGGCUGCUUCCGCAACCACGAGCACGUCAUCAACAAAUUGACGGCAAGGAAGAACAGUCAGGGCGCGCUGGUGACGCCCGGCACGCCGCAUGCGGCGGAGCUGAGUACCGAGCCUGCAGAGACGGCGGCCGAUGGUGCGGCCAACGCGCUCAACACCCCCCGCCCAGCGGCGGUCACGCUGCGAAAUUGGACACGAUUGUCCAAGGACAGGCCUAGCAAGGAGCGACGGGCGGCCAAGCGCGUGUCCGUAGAGUGUUGCUUUUGCACCUGCGGCAAGGAUUUCCUGGAGCCGCUCGGCGGCCCGCGCCGUCAGAGCUCCGAGCCGAGCCGAGCCGCCGCCGCACCCAUCGAGCUCCAGGCGCUCUCACAAACCAACCUGGACCUGCUCAGUCUGGAGAGCAGUGACACCUUCACCAGCUGCCCCACGCACCCGUUCCCCUCGGAGGGCGACCUGACGGCCGACAGCAACCUCUACGUCAACCCGCUGGACGGCGAUGUGCGCCGCGACAGCCCGCGCGCCUCGCCGCGGCGCCGACCGCGCAUCGCCAGCGCCGGCGACCCGGCGGAGAGCGGCGUCAGCCAGCAGGGCUCGCCGCUGCUCAAACACCGGCGCGCUCGCUUCCAGGAGGAAAGUACGGCAGUCGCAGCUCCCUCUCCGGCGACGUCGCCGACACCCGGCACCGCAGCCCCGAGAAGAAGAAGUCCAUCCUGAAGAAGACGGAGGUGCGCGCCGACCCGGAGACCGAGAAGCUGCUGGACGCCACCCUGGUGACCGACAGCGGAGUGGAGGCAGACGCGUCGCCCCCGGCGGCAGCGCCGCGCCGCGCCGACUGCUGCCGCGCCGAGACGGACUCGGCGCGGCGGCGGCCCGGCGCGCUGCGCUGCGCCAACGCCGGCUGUCUGUACAACACGGUGGCGCUGCUCUCACCGGCGCACGGCGAGGUGUGUCUGUGCGGCGCGCAGAUGGUGCGCGGCGCCGCCAACCACGCGCCCAGCUCGCGCAGCGCCGAGUCGUCGCCGGACGAGGAGACCACGCUGCUGCAGCACCGUCCGCCUCCGCGACAGAGCAGCUCCUAACAGCGGCCUCCGUCCGCCCCAGGCCCGGUGUUAACAACGAACUGGCGGUCGGCUGUCGGUGUCCUCAAGUGUUGGGUCGUGCUCCGACGUCCCGUGUUCCGGGUGCUCCGGUGCUCCGGGUGUUCCCCAGUGCAGGCCCGGCGCCCCGACGGCAACACACCGCUCAAUCUCCCCUCACAGUUUUGUACGCGUGUCACUGCUCUGCCGACUCGGCCGGUCCUCCGCCGCGCCCGGUCCCCUAGUGAAAGAGUAGGCGGCCGGCCGGCCGGCGGCUCGGAGCUGGCGGCGCGGACCGCCCGGACUGCGGUCUCCCACUGCGCCGCCCAUCGCGGUGGAAGUGUUAUAUACUUGUUACACCCGUGUUGGUGGUCCGUCACGCGGCACGUGACGCGUGUGACGGCCGCCGGCGCCACUGGUGAUACGGCUGGCUGCCGGACGCGCCGCUUGUGAUACUGCGGCGCGGGCGCGCUCCGGGCGCGGUGCAGCAAUAGCGCGCGCGGCGUGGCGCGGCGCCGACCGCGCGCCGACGCUCAACAUAGGCAGAAAGCUGCCCGGCCGGGCGACGGCACAUUCCAGCGGCGACUCGACCGCGCACCCACGCUUCAGCGGCGGCGGCGGCCAGGCUGCGUUUCAAGCAGCGCCGACCGUCGCCGUCGGCCCACUCUGCACCGGGGGUGGAGGAUCGCACAUCCGCACACUCCCGGGCAUUAGUGCACUCAUAGAUAACGGAUAUAUACUAAGCGACACCGUUUUCGUUAUCGGCCGGGCCGCGGGUGCCGCCGUAGUAUGUUUUAGUGUAUUCAGGCGAAAACAGACAUUUGGUAUUGCCAUGCCUUUAUAGCACUUAGAAUUCAUGUUACAAGUUUUCAAUUUUAAUAGACUUGACGCACUGUUCCGGCAGGGGUGACCGGCCUCAGCUUGUGAUAUUGCGUUGUAUGCCGAUAGCCAUUCUCGUGCUUAUUUCCGGUGCUAAGCGGCGAGUUUCACUGUUGUUCCAUGUUCAAUUCCAUACUGUACAUAUUACAAUACAACUCUUUUUCAUUCAUCAA